GCCGGACCUGACUGCUAUCGGAUUGAUACUAAGCCAUGCGAGUCGUUGUAGCAAUACAAGGCAUACGGCUCAGUAACGCGUAGUCAACCUAACCUAUGGCCGGGAAUAACCUCGGGAAACUGAGAAUAAUGCCCGAUAGAACAUUAUGCCUGGAAUGGUUUAUGUUCCAAAUGAUUUAUCGCCAUAGGAUGGGACUGCGGCCUAUCAGUUUGUUGGUGAGGUAAUGGCCCACCAAGACUAUUACAGGUACGGGCUCUGAGAGGAGUAGCCCGGAGAUGGGUACUGAGACACGGACCCAGGCCCUAUGGGGCGCAGCAGGCGAGAAAACUUUGCAAUGUGCGAAAGCACGACAAGGUUAAUCCGAGUGAUUUCUGCUAAAGAGAUCUUUUGUUAGUCCUAGAAACACUAACGAAUAAGGGGUGGGCAAGUUCUGGUGUCAGCCGCCGCGGUAAAACCAGCACCUCAAGUGGUCAGGAUGAUUAUUGGGCCUAAAGCAUCCGUAGCCGGCUCUGUAAGUUUUCGGUUAAAUCUGUACGCUCAACGUACAGGCUGCCGGAAAUACUGCAGAACUAGGGAGUGGGAGAGGUAGACGGUACUCGGUAGGAAGUGGUAAAAUGCUUUGAUCUAUCGAUGACCACCUGUGGCGAAGGCGGUCUACCAGAACACGUCCGACGGUGAGGGAUGAAAGCUGGGGGAGCAAACCGGAUUAGAUACCCGGGUAGUCCCAGCUGUAAACUAUGCAAACUCAGUGAUGCAUUGGCUUGUGGCCAAUGCAGUGCUGCAGGGAAGCCGUUAAGUUUGCCGCCUGGGAAGUACGUACGCAAGUAUGAAACUUAAAGGAAUUGGCGGGGGAGCACCACAAGGGGUGAAGCCUGCGGUUCAAUUGGAUUCAACGCCGGG
rnacentral:rRNA from 1 species